rnacentral:rRNA from 1 species
UACGAAGGGGGCUAGCGUUGCUCGGAAUUACUGGGCGUAAAGCGCACGUAGGCGGCUUUGUAAGUCAGGGGUGAAAUCCUGGAGCUCAACUCCAGAACUGCCUUUGAUACUGAGGAUCUUGAGUUCGGGAGAGGUGAGUGGAACUGCGAGUGUAGAGGUGAAAUUCGUAGAUAUUCGCAAGAACACCAGUGGCGAAGGCGGCUCACUGGCCCGAUACUGACGCUGAGGCACGAAAGCGUGGGGAGCAAACAGG